rnacentral:rRNA from 1 species
UACGUAGGGGGCAAGCGUUGUCCGGAUUUAUUGGGCGUAAAGAGCGUGUAGGCGGCCAUGCAGGUCAGCUGUGAAAACUCGAGGCUCAACCUCGAGACGUCGGUUGAAACCGCAUGGCUAGAGUCCGGAAGAGGAGAGUGGAAUUCCCGGUGUAGCGGUGAAAUGCGUAGAUAUCGUAAGGAAGACCAGUGGCGAAGGCGGGUCUCUGGACAGUUCCUGACGCUGAGGCACGAAGGUCAGGGGAGCAAACGGG